GUUGACUUUUAAUCAAUUGGUCGCAGGUUCGAAUCCUGCACGACCCACCA
rnacentral:tRNA from 1 species